rnacentral:rRNA from 1 species
GAUGAACGCUGGCGGCGUGCCUAAUACAUGCAAGUCGAGCGAACAGACGAGGAGCUUGCUCCUCUGACGUUAGCGGCGGACGGGUGAGUAACACGUGGAUAACCUACCUAUAAGACUGGGAUAACUUCGGGAAACCGGAGCUAAUACCGGAUAAUAUAUUGAACCGCAUGGUUCAAUAGUGAAAGACGGUUUUGCCGUCACUUAUAGAUGGAUCCGCGCCGCAUUAGCUAGUUGGUAAGGUAACGGCUUACCAAGGCAACGAUGCGUAGCCGACCGGAGAGGGUGAUCGGCCACCUUGGAACUGAGACACGGUCCAGACUCCUACGGGAGGCAGCAGUAGGGAAUCUUCCGCAAUGGGCGAAAGCCUGACGGAGCAACGCCGCGUGAGUGAUGAAGGUCUUCGGAUCGUAAAACUCUGUUAUUAGGGAAGAACAAAUGUGUAAGUAACUAUGCACGUCUUGACGGUACCUAAUCAGAAAGCCACGGCUAACUACGUG